rnacentral:rRNA from 1 species
UACGGGGGGGGCAAGCGUUGUUCGGAAUUACUGGGCGUAAAGGGCUCGUAGGCGGCCAACUAAGUCAGACGUGAAAUCCCUCGGCUUAACCGGGGAACUGCGUCUGAUACUGGCUGGCUUGAGUUUGGGAGAGGGAUGCGGAAUUCCAGGUGUAGCGGUGAAAUGCGUAGAUAUCUGGAGGAACACCGGUGGCGAAGGCGGCAUCCUGGACCAACACUGACGCUGAGGAGCGAAAGCCAGGGGAGCAAACGGG